rnacentral:rRNA from 1 species
GACGAACGCUGGCGGCGUGCUUAACACAUGCAAGUCGAACGGAAAGGCCCUGCUUUUGUGGGGUGCUCGAGUGGCGAACGGGUGAGUAACACGUGAGUAACCUGCCCUUGACUUUGGGAUAACUUCAGGAAACUGGGUCUAAUACCGGAUAGGAGCUCCUGCUGCAUGGUGGGGGUUGGAAAGUUUCGGCGGUUGGGGAUGGACUCGCGGCUUAUCAGCUUGUUGGUGGGGUAGUGGCUUACCAAGGCUUUGACGGGUAGCCGGCCUGAGAGGGUGACCGGCCACAUUGGGACUGAGAUACGGCCCAGACUCCUACGGGAGGCAGCAGUGGGGAAUAUUGCACAAUGGGCGGAAGCCUGAUGCAGCAACGCCGCGUGGGGGAUGACGGCCUUCGGGUUGUAAACCGCUUUCGCCUGUGACGAAGCGUGAGUGACGGUAAUGGGUAAAGAAGCACCGGCUAACUACGUG